CAGUCUGUCCUUAAUAGUAAGACCCACUUAAUACACCUCUCCUGGCUCUUUGUUUAGUGUUUGGACAUUCAAAGACCCCUAGACUAGGCGGCGGGAGUUUCAGGGCCACGAUCCAGAUCGUAUACCAACUGUGUGUGGCCCCGCACAAAAUCACUCCCCGCUCUUUGGCACUUAAGUUGGCGAAACUGGGAUGGGCUGGGACCUCAAAGGGCCGUUCUAGUAGGGGAGUCACAGGCCCAGGUGGUGAAGGGGUGGAAGGGCACGUCUCGCGGUUUAUAGUCCACUGAGCCUCGCCGGAGGUAACCCCAGCUCGGGGAUGCUUUCGUUGCCAUGGUAACCGCCGGGUAGGCGCGGGCCCCUGCGUGCGGCUGAGGAAGUUGGGACCAAUCCUGCCCUUCCCAAGAUGGCGGCGGCAGCAGGGCAAAGGGCGGGGUUAGAUGCUGUCAGCCUGUCCAGACCUUUCCUCUGUUUUCGCUUGUUCCUACUAACGGCAAGCUUCCGCCAAUACUUGUUCUUGUUCUUGGUUCCGAGCGUCCCGAGAACCGGGAAGGGAAGGAUUGUCUGCAGGGAUUGGAGCAAAUAUCCAGUGUGGGAAAAGGCGGGACUUCCGCGUCCUGCCGGAAGUGACGUGACAGUAGCGGCCACCGCCAGGUGGAACGGCAGGUGGGUUCAGGUACCAGCUUGGCCCGGACCCGGUUGUGGGACCAACGCUUCCGGUGAGCGACAGAGGCAGCUCCUCAGGGCCUGGAGACCCGUGGGGCGGGCUCUGGGAUCUGAGCCUAUCGCCCUGGCCUGGAGUUCCCCUUUGUACCUAUUCCCCAUUCCCCUACCGAGCUGGGCAGUUAGCCAGCCCACUCCAGCUCUCGGAACCAUGUUUGCAGACUUGGAUUAUGACAUCGAAGAGGAUAAACUCGGAAUCCCAACUGUGCCUGGGAAGGUGACCCUGCAGAAGGAUGCUCAGAACCUGAUCGGGAUCAGCAUUGGAGGAGGGGCCCAGUACUGUCCCUGUCUCUAUAUUGUCCAGGUAUUUGACAACACCCCAGCAGCCUUGGACGGCACAGUGGCAGCUGGCGAUGAGAUCACCGGUGUCAAUGGCAGGUCAAUCAAAGGGAAAACCAAGGUGGAGGUGGCGAAGAUGAUUCAGGAGGUGAAGGGGGAGGUGACCAUCCACUACAACAAGCUGCAGGCGGACCCCAAGCAGGGCAUGUCCCUGGACAUUGUGUUGAAGAAAGUCAAGCACCGGCUGGUGGAAAACAUGAGUUCGGGGACUGCAGAUGCUCUGGGCCUGAGCCGGGCCAUCCUGUGCAAUGAUGGGCUUGUCAAGAGGCUAGAGGAGCUGGAGCGGACCGCCGAGCUGUACAAAGGGAUGACGGAACACACCAAGAACCUCCUACGGGCCUUUUAUGAGCUGUCGCAGACUCACCGGGGGGGCCAAGUAGGGGCAGCCUUCAAGGCAAACUUGUCCUGCAGCCUUUGGGGACGUGUUCUCCGUGAUCGGGGUGCGGGAGCCCCAGCCAGCUGCGAGCGAGGCUUUUGUGAAGUUCGCCGAUGCCCACCGCAGCAUCGAGAAGUUUGGCAUUCGGCUUCUGAAAACCAUCAAGCCGAUGCUGACGGACCUGAACACGUACCUCAACAAAGCCAUCCCAGACACUCGCCUCACUAUCAAGAAGUACCUGGACGUGAAGUUUGAGUACCUGUCGUACUGCCUGAAGGUGAAGGAGAUGGAUGACGAGGAAUACAGCUGCAUUGCCCUAGGCGAGCCCCUUUACCGGGUGAGCACCGGCAACUACGAGUACCGCCUGAUCCUGCGCUGCCGCCAGGAGGCGCGCGCCCGUUUCUCCCAGAUGCGCAAGGACGUGCUGGAGAAGAUGGAACUGCUGGACCAGAAGCACGUCCAGGACAUCGUGUUCCAGCUGCAGCGCCUCGUGUCCACCAUGUCUAAGUACUACAACGACUGCUAUGCGGUGCUGCGGGAUGCCGAUGUCUUCCCCAUCGAGGUGGACUUGGCGCACACCACACUGGCCUACGGCCUCAACCAGGAGGAGUUCACAGAUGGGGAGGAGGAGGAGGAGGAGGAGGACACGGCAGCUGGGGAGCCGUCCAGGGAUACACGAGGGGCUGCUGGGCCCUUGGACAAGGGUGGAAGCUGGUGUGACUCCUGAGUGCCCCGCGGGUAUGGCGCCGGGGGCAGGGUGCGUGGGAGGACGGAACCUGGGAGUGGGGCGGGGUCGCCAAGCAAGGGGGCGACGCAUAAAGGCCUGCUGGCUUGGGGCGCCUGCCUCCCUGCUCCUCUGUCCUCGCACAGUGAACCUGGGCUCCUGCCCAGGACAGGCACCAGGGUCAUGGCCUGGGACCUGGACACUGGCCCCUCCACCCUCCCUCCCCUCCCGGCUCUCCAGCCAGAGGGAGAGCUUGGUCUCUGGACCUGCCUUAGGAAGGAGAGGGAGGGCAGGAAGGAAAAGAAAGGACUUGGAGGUGGCAGGAGUCCGGGCCCUGCUCCUUGUGGGCACUCGCACUGCCCCCGGAGCCUGCCGGGAGUGGGGCCGGCGGUGGACAGCUGAGGUUGGGGCCAGUGUCUCCUGGGCACCCUUGCCUCGCCCCAGACCAGCCCGUCCAGUCCCCAUCACACCUCGGCGGCCUUUAUUUAUUCUCUUCCCCCAGCUUGGCCACUUCUUUGAAGGAGGGCUGGGCUCUGGGCCUGUAUCGAAUAAACAAACCUGGAUGGCGCA